rnacentral:rRNA from 1 species
AUGAACGCUGGCGGCGUGCUUAACACAUGCAAGUCGAGCGAAGCACUUAGGAAAGAUUCUUCGGAUGAUUUCCUAUUUGACUGAGCGGCGGACGGGUGAGUAACGCGUGGGUAACCUGCCUCAUACAGGGGGAUAACAGUUAGAAAUGACUGCUAAUACCGCAUAAGACCACAGCACCGCAUGGUGCAGGGGUAAAAACUCCGGUGGUAUGAGAUGGACCCGCGUCUGAUUAGUUAGUUGGUGGGGUAACGGCCUACCAAGGCGACGAUCAGUAGCCGACCUGAGAGGGUGACCGGCCACAUUGGGACUGAGACACGGCCCAAACUCCUACGGGAGGCAGCAGUGGGGAAUAUUGCACAAUGGGGGAAACCCUGAUGCAGCGACGCCGCGUGAGCGAAGAAGUAUUUCGGUAUGUAAAGCUCUAUCAGCAGGGAAGAAAAUGACGGUACCUGACUAAGAAGCCCCGGCUAACUACGUGCCAGCAGCCGCGGUAAUACGUAGGGGGCAAGCGUUAUCCGGAUUUACUGGGUGUAAAGGGAGCGUAGACGGAGCAGCAAGUCUGAUGUGAAAACCCGGGGCUCAACCCCGGGACUGCAUUGGAAACUGUUGAUCUGGAGUGCCGGAGAGGUAAGCGGAAUUCCUAGUGUAGCGGUGAAAUGCGUAGAUAUUAGGAGGAACACCAGUGGCGAAGGCGGCUUACUGGACGGUAACUGACGUUGAGGCUCGAAAGCGUGGGGAGCAAACAGGAUUAGAUACCCUGGUAGUCCACGCCGUAAACGAUGAGUGCUAGGUGUUGGAUCCUUUCCGGGAUUCAGUGCCGCAGCUAACGCAUUAAGCACUCCGCCUGGGGAGUACGACCGCAAGGUUGAAACUCAAAGGAAUUGACGGGGGCCCGCACAAGCGGUGGAGCAUGUGGUUUAAUUCGAAGCAACGCGAAGAACCUUACCUGCUCUUGACAUCCCGGUGACGGCAGAGUAAUGUCUGCUUUUCUUCGGAACACCGGUGACAGGUGGUGCAUGGUUGUCGUCAGCUCGUGUCGUGAGAUGUUGGGUUAAGUCCCGCAACGAGCGCAACCCCUAUCUUCAGUAGCCAGCGGUAAGGCCGGGCACUCUGGAGAGACUGCCAGGGAUAACCUGGAGGAAGGUGGGGAUGACGUCAAAUCAUCAUGCCCCUUAUGAGCAGGGCUACACACGUGCUACAAUGGCGUAAACAAAGGGAAGCGAACCCGCGAGGGUGGGCAAAUCCCAAAAAUAACGUCUCAGUUCGGAUUGUAGUCUGCAACUCGACUACAUGAAGCUGGAAUCGCUAGUAAUCGCGAAUCAGAAUGUCGCGGUGAAUACGUUCCCGGGUCUUGUACACACCGCCCGUCACACCAUGGGAGUCAGUAACGCCCGAAGUCAGUGACCCAACCGUAAGGAGGGAGCUGCCGAAGGUGGGACCGAUAACUGGGGUG